ACUCCUACGGGAGGCAGCAGUGGGGAAUAUUGCACAAUGGGCGCAAGCCUGAUGCAGCCAUGCCGCGUGUAUGAAGAAGGCCUUCGGGUUGUAAAGUACUUUUCAGCAGUGAGGAAGGUGGAUAUGUUAAUAGCAUAUUCAUUUGACGUUUAGCUGCAGAAGAAGCACCGGCUAACUCCGUGCCAGCAGCCGCGGUAAUACGGAGGGUGCGAGCGUUAAUCGGAAUUACUGGGCGUAAAGCGCAUGCAGGUGGUUUGUUAAGUCAGAUGUGAAAGCCCGGGGCUCAACCUCGGAAUUGCAUUUGAAACUGGCAAACUAGAGUACUGUAGAGGGGGGUAGAAUUUCAGGUGUAGCGGUGAAAUGGCGUAGAGAUCUGAAGGAUACCGGUGGCGAAGGCGGCCCCCUGGACAGAUACUGACACUCAGAUGCGAAAGCGUGGGGAGCAAACAGGAUUAGAUACCCUGGUAGGCUCU
rnacentral:rRNA from 1 species